rnacentral:tRNA from 1 species
UCCCUGGUCUAGUGGUUAGGAUUUAUUAUUUUCAUGGCUGUGGCCUGAGUUCAAUUUCCAAUCAGGGAA